rnacentral:misc_RNA from 1 species
UGUUGCUCUGAAUCCUUAGAUUGUUCAAUUUGGUCGUUGCCAUGAUUAGUUUUCGAUUUUGUUUGUUCUUCUUUGUUUGCUGGUUCUCGUAGAUCUGCUGACAUUCUAUUUUUUUGUUCUCCAUCUUUGACUUCUGCGCUUAUUAGAGAGGUAUUGUUGAGAUUAGUAAUCCAAUUUUCGAGUUAAUUGUGAUAUUUUAGAUGUGAUUCAAACGUUCAGUAGUUGAUUAGCUGUUCAUGUCCUUCUUUUUUGAGAUUUGCAAGAUCUAUAAAUUUUUUUGUUUCAUUUUUGCUGGAUCUGUCGUUUUGGUUGAGGAUAAUUUUGUGAUUUGGUUGGAUCUUGACAUUUCUCAGCUUUAGUUGUUGUUGUUGUUGUAGUGCUAGCUGAAGGUUUCACUUUUCCCUUUUAUCUUUAAUUUUAUUUUCUUACAAUGAUAAUCACUGCGCGAGUAAUUAAUUUAAAAUGACUUAUAUUAGUUAGGAUUUAUAGAAGAGGAAGCCAGCAAAUCAAGCAUGAUUUUGGGUUGUGGUGAUUUAAUUUAGUUUAGAAAAAUGAUAAUCUAGAAAUGUUUUGUUUCAUUUUGUGAUCCAAUAUGGAGUUCAAAAGUCUAGAUCUAAUAAUGCUUAAAUGUACAUAUCAAAGCUGGUCGUAAAAUAAAAAUGGAUACACAGCUUCUGCUCUAGAAUACAACUUGCUGUCAAAAAAGAAGGAAAAGAAAAAGACGGUGUUCUAAUGAUUCAAAUGUAAAAGGACAAUGUUAUUUAGCGUUGAUUUUUUCACCCACUGUGUUGGAAGUUUGCAAAUUCUAGAUCCAUUCCCUCUUUGUUUUUUUGUAUGCGUAGGUAAGUCAAUUGUCAUGGGAGCACAUAGGAAUCUACUCUGUGUAUUAUUUUUUUCUCCUUCCCUUAUAUAUUUAAGUUUCCUAUGUUUCAGGUGGUAAACUUUGACAAAAAAAAUGGUGAAGAUUUGCUGCAUUGGAGCAGGUUAUGUAGGUGGGCCUACAAUGGCAGUCAUCGCACUCAAGUGCCCAUCAAUUGAAGUGGCCGUAGUUGAUAUCUCUGUCUCUAGGAUCAACGCAUGGAACAGUGAUCAGCUGCCCAUAUAUGAGCCAGGCCUUGAUGGUGUGGUGAAGCAGUGUAGAGGAAAGAACCUUUUCUUUAGCACUGACGUGGAAAACCAUGUUUCAGAUGCUGAUAUAGUCUUUGUAUCUGUUAAUACCCCAACGAAAACCCAAGGGCUUGGAGCUGGCAAAGCAGCUGACUUGACUUAUUGGGAGAGUGCAGCUCGAAUGAUUGCAGAUGUAUCAAAAUCUGAUAAAAUUGUUGUUGAGAAAUCAACUGUCCCUGUGAAAACAGCGGAGGCAAUUGAAAAGAUUUUGACCCACAACAGCAAAGGCAUCAACUUUCAGAUUCUCUCUAACCCUGAGUUCCUUGCUGAAGGAACAGCAAUUCAAGAUCUUCUCCACCCAGACCGAGUGCUUAUCGGUGGUAGGGAGACUCCAGAAGGACAAAAAGCAAUUCAAACAUUGAGAGAUGUUUAUGCCCAUUGGGUCCCUGUGGAACAGAUUAUUUGCACCAAUCUCUGGUCUGCUGAGCUCUCAAAACUUGCUGCAAAUGCCUUUUUGGCACAGAGGAUUUCCUCUGUUAAUGCUAUGUCAGCUCUCUGUGAGGCCACUGGCGCAGAUGUUACCCAAGUUUCACAUGCUGUUGGUAAGGACACAAGAAUCGGACCCAAGUUCUUGAAUGCUAGUGUGGGUUUUGGUGGAUCGUGUUUCCAGAAAGAUAUCUUGAACUUGGUCUAUAUUUGUGAGUGCAAUGGUCUUCCUGAGGUAGCAAAUUACUGGAAACAGGUUAUUAAGGUGAAUGACUACCAAAAGAACCGUUUUGUGAACCGGGUAGUUUCAUCUAUGUUCAACACAGUUUCAGGAAAGAAGAUUGCAAUUUUAGGAUUUGCUUUCAAGAAAGACACUGGUGAUACUAGGGAGACUCCAGCUAUUGAUGUUUGCAAGGGCUUGUUGGGUGACAAAGCUCAUUUGAGCAUCUAUGACCCACAGGUUUCAGAGGAUCAAAUUCAAAGGGAUCUGUCAAUGAAGAAAUUUGAUUGGGAUCAUCCCAUCCAUCUUCAGCCAAUGAGUCCAUCAUCUAUCAAGCAAGUUAGAUGUGUUUGGGAUGCUUAUGAGGCUACAAAGGAUGCUCAUGGUAUCUGCAUUCUUACCGAGUGGGAUGAGUUCAAAACUCUUGAUUAUCAUAAGAUUUAUGAUAACAUGCAGAAGCCUGCAUUUGUUUUCGAUGGGCGCAAUGUCGUGGAUGCUGAUAAGCUCAGGAAAAUUGGGUUCAUUGUUUACUCCAUUGGCAAGCCACUGGAUCCAUGGCUGAAGGACAUGCCUGCUGUUGCAUAAACGCCAAAUUGGAUAACUUGAAGUAGCUUGUGGCCGGUUGUAGAAACGUAUAUGAUAGGCAUAUACAAUUAUCACCUUAUUAAUUUUCCCCUUCAACCAUUUAUUAUCGUCUAGCUUUGCAAUUUAGUUUGUUAUUUUUGUAUUGGGUACCAUUAUACAAUUAUGUUCUGGUACAUCUCCAUUAGUAGAAAAUUUGAAUAUGGUAUUCUUAUUGGUUUACAUAUAACAUAAGAAAGCAUAAAAUUUGUUCAGAUUUUUUUUUUUAAAAAAGAAUAAAACUUCCUCAUAAUGUUCUACUUUCUACUAGAUCAAUUUUGUUUUCCUUUUUCUUAUGUGGAAAAUUCUCAAUCCACGAUGCACAUUAGUGAUAUAGAUGCAGAAAGACUUUUAAUAUAGAGAUCAA